rnacentral:misc_RNA from 1 species
AAUUGAAGAGUUUGAUCAUGGCUCAGAUUGAACGCUGGCGGCAGGCCUAACACAUGCAAGUCGAACGGUAACAGGAAGAAGCUUGCUUCUUUGCUGACGAGUGGCGGACGGGUGAGUAAUGUCUGGGAAACUGCCUGAUGGAGGGGGAUAACUACUGGAAACGGUAGCUAAUACCGCAUAACGUCGCAAGACCAAAGAGGGGGACCUUCGGGCCUCUUGCCAUCGGAUGUGCCCAGAUGGGAUUAGCUAGUAGGUGGGGUAACGGCUCACCUAGGCGACGAUCCCUAGCUGGUCUGAGAGGAUGACCAGCCACACUGGAACUGAGACACGGUCCAGACUCCUACGGGAGGCAGCAGUGGGGAAUAUUGCACAAUGGGCGCAAGCCUGAUGCAGCCAUGCCGCGUGUAUGAAGAAGGCCUUCGGGUUGUAAAGUACUUUCAGCGGGGAGGAAGGGAGUAAAGUUAAUACCUUUGCUCAUUGACGUUACCCGCAGAAGAAGCACCGGCUAACUCCGUGCCAGCAGCCGCGGUAAUACGGAGGGUGCAAGCGUUAAUCGGAAUUACUGGGCGUAAAGCGCACGCAGGCGGUUUGUUAAGUCAGAUGUGAAAUCCCCGGGCUCAACCUGGGAACUGCAUCUGAUACUGGCAAGCUUGAGUCUCGUAGAGGGGGGUAGAAUUCCAGGUGUAGCGGUGAAAUGCGUAGAGAUCUGGAGGAAUACCGGUGGCGAAGGCGGCCCCCUGGACGAAGACUGACGCUCAGGUGCGAAAGCGUGGGGAGCAAACAGGAUUAGAUACCCUGGUAGUCCACGCCGUAAACGAUGUCGACUUGGAGGUUGUGCCCUUGAGGCGUGGCUUCCGGAGCUAACGCGUUAAGUCGACCGCCUGGGGAGUACGGCCGCAAGGUUAAAACUCAAAUGAAUUGACGGGGGCCCGCACAAGCGGUGGAGCAUGUGGUUUAAUUCGAUGCAACGCGAAGAACCUUACCUGGUCUUGACAUCCACGGAAGUUUUCAGAGAUGAGAAUGUGCCUUCGGGAACCGUGAGACAGGUGCUGCAUGGCUGUCGUCAGCUCGUGUUGUGAAAUGUUGGGUUAAGUCCCGCAACGAGCGCAACCCUUAUCCUUUGUUGCCAGCGGUCCGGCCGGGAACUCAAAGGAGACUGCCAGUGAUAAACUGGAGGAAGGUGGGGAUGACGUCAAGUCAUCAUGGCCCUUACGACCAGGGCUACACACGUGCUACAAUGGCGCAUACAAAGAGAAGCGACCUCGCGAGAGCAAGCGGACCUCAUAAAGUGCGUCGUAGUCCGGAUUGGAGUCUGCAACUCGACUCCAUGAAGUCGGAAUCGCUAGUAAUCGUGGAUCAGAAUGCCACGGUGAAUACGUUCCCGGGCCUUGUACACACCGCCCGUCACACCAUGGGAGUGGGUUGCAAAAGAAGUAGGUAGCUUAACCAGUCAAUAAGUCUUGAGCUAACCGGUACUAAUGAACCGUGAGGCUUAACCUUGGUUAAGCGACUAAGCGUACACGGUGGAUGCCCUGGCAGUCAGAGGCGAUGAAGGACGUGCUAAUCUGCGAUAAGCGUCGGUAAGGUGAUAUGAACCGUUAUAACCGGCGAUUUCCGAAUGGGGAAACCCAGUGUGUUUCGACACACUAUCAUUAACUGAAUCCAUAGGUUAAUGAGGCGAACCGGGGGAACUGAAACAUCUAAGUACCCCGAGGAAAAGAAAUCAACCGAGAUUCCCCCAGUAGCGGCGAGCGAACGGGGAGCAGCCCAGAGCCUGAAUCAGUGUGUGUGUUAGUGGAAGCGUCUGGAAAGGCGCGCGAUACAGGGUGACAGCCCCGUACACAAAAAUGCACAUGCUGUGAGCUCGAUGAGUAGGGCGGGACACGUGGUAUCCUGUCUGAAUAUGGGGGGACCAUCCUCCAAGGCUAAAUACUCCUGACUGACCGAUAGUGAACCAGUACCGUGAGGGAAAGGCGAAAAGAACCCCGGCGAGGGGAGUGAAAAAGAACCUGAAACCGUGUACGUACAAGCAGUGGGAGCACGCUUAGGCGUGUGACUGCGUACCUUUUGUAUAAUGGGUCAGCGACUUAUAUUCUGUAGCAAGGUUAACCGAAUAGGGGAGCCGAAGGGAAACCGAGUCUUAACUGGGCGUUAAGUUGCAGGGUAUAGACCCGAAACCCGGUGAUCUAGCCAUGGGCAGGUUGAAGGUUGGGUAACACUAACUGGAGGACCGAACCGACUAAUGUUGAAAAAUUAGCGGAUGACUUGUGGCUGGGGGUGAAAGGCCAAUCAAACCGGGAGAUAGCUGGUUCUCCCCGAAAGCUAUUUAGGUAGCGCCUCGUGAAUUCAUCUCCGGGGGUAGAGCACUGUUUCGGCAAGGGGGUCACUUACCAACCCGAUGCAAACUGCGAAUACCGGAGAAUGUUAUCACGGGAGACACACGGCGGGUGCUAACGUCCGUCGUGAAGAGGGAAACAACCCAGACCGCCAGCUAAGGUCCCAAAGUCAUGGUUAAGUGGGAAACGAUGUGGGAAGGCCCAGACAGCCAGGAUGUUGGCUUAGAAGCAGCCAUCAUUUAAAGAAAGCGUAAUAGCUCACUGGUCGAGUCGGCCUGCGCGGAAGAUGUAACGGGGCUAAACCAUGCACCGAAGCUGCGGCAGCGACGCUUAUGCGUUGUUGGGUAGGGGAGCGUUCUGUAAGCCUGCGAAGGUGUGCUGUGAGGCAUGCUGGAGGUAUCAGAAGUGCGAAUGCUGACAUAAGUAACGAUAAAGCGGGUGAAAAGCCCGCUCGCCGGAAGACCAAGGGUUCCUGUCCAACGUUAAUCGGGGCAGGGUGAGUCGACCCCUAAGGCGAGGCCGAAAGGCGUAGUCGAUGGGAAACAGGUUAAUAUUCCUGUACUUGGUGUUACUGCGAAGGGGGGACGGAGAAGGCUAUGUUGGCCGGGCGACGGUUGUCCCGGUUUAAGCGUGUAGGCUGGUUUUCCAGGCAAAUCCGGAAAAUCAAGGCUGAGGCGUGAUGACGAGGCACUACGGUGCUGAAGCAACAAAUGCCCUGCUUCCAGGAAAAGCCUCUAAGCAUCAGGUAACAUCAAAUCGUACCCCAAACCGACACAGGUGGUCAGGUAGAGAAUACCAAGGCGCUUGAGAGAACUCGGGUGAAGGAACUAGGCAAAAUGGUGCCGUAACUUCGGGAGAAGGCACGCUGAUAUGUAGGUGAGGUCCCUCGCGGAUGGAGCUGAAAUCAGUCGAAGAUACCAGCUGGCUGCAACUGUUUAUUAAAAACACAGCACUGUGCAAACACGAAAGUGGACGUAUACGGUGUGACGCCUGCCCGGUGCCGGAAGGUUAAUUGAUGGGGUUAGCGCAAGCGAAGCUCUUGAUCGAAGCCCCGGUAAACGGCGGCCGUAACUAUAACGGUCCUAAGGUAGCGAAAUUCCUUGUCGGGUAAGUUCCGACCUGCACGAAUGGCGUAAUGAUGGCCAGGCUGUCUCCACCCGAGACUCAGUGAAAUUGAACUCGCUGUGAAGAUGCAGUGUACCCGCGGCAAGACGGAAAGACCCCGUGAACCUUUACUAUAGCUUGACACUGAACAUUGAGCCUUGAUGUGUAGGAUAGGUGGGAGGCUUUGAAGUGUGGACGCCAGUCUGCAUGGAGCCGACCUUGAAAUACCACCCUUUAAUGUUUGAUGUUCUAACGUUGACCCGUAAUCCGGGUUGCGGACAGUGUCUGGUGGGUAGUUUGACUGGGGCGGUCUCCUCCUAAAGAGUAACGGAGGAGCACGAAGGUUGGCUAAUCCUGGUCGGACAUCAGGAGGUUAGUGCAAUGGCAUAAGCCAGCUUGACUGCGAGCGUGACGGCGCGAGCAGGUGCGAAAGCAGGUCAUAGUGAUCCGGUGGUUCUGAAUGGAAGGGCCAUCGCUCAACGGAUAAAAGGUACUCCGGGGAUAACAGGCUGAUACCGCCCAAGAGUUCAUAUCGACGGCGGUGUUUGGCACCUCGAUGUCGGCUCAUCACAUCCUGGGGCUGAAGUAGGUCCCAAGGGUAUGGCUGUUCGCCAUUUAAAGUGGUACGCGAGCUGGGUUUAGAACGUCGUGAGACAGUUCGGUCCCUAUCUGCCGUGGGCGCUGGAGAACUGAGGGGGGCUGCUCCUAGUACGAGAGGACCGGAGUGGACGCAUCACUGGUGUUCGGGUUGUCAUGCCAAUGGCACUGCCCGGUAGCUAAAUGCGGAAGAGAUAAGUGCUGAAAGCAUCUAAGCACGAAACUUGCCCCGAGAUGAGUUCUCCCUGACCCUUUAAGGGUCCUGAAGGAACGUUGAAGACGACGACGUUGAUAGGCCGGGUGUGUAAGGACGACCUUCGGGAGGGCGCUUACCACUUUGUGAUUCAUGACUGGGGUGAAGUCGUAACAAGGUAACCGUAGGGGAACCUGCGGUUGGAUCA